rnacentral:rRNA from 1 species
GAUGAACGCUAGCGGCAGGCCUAACACAUGCAAGUCGAGGGGCAUCACGGAUUGCUUGCAAUCUGGUGGCGACCGGCGCACGGGUGCGUAACGCGUAUACAACCUACCUUUUAGCGGGGAAUAGCCCAGGGAAACUUGGAUUAAUGCCCUAUAGUAUAUGAACUUCUCCUGAAGUUUAUAUUAAACAUUUAUGGCUAUUAGAUGGGUAUGCGUCCUAUUAGUUAGUUGGUAAGGUAACGGCUUACCAAGGCAGCGAUAGGUAGGGGUCCUGAGAGGGAGAUCCCCACACUGGUACUGAGACACGGACCAGACUCCUACGGGAGGCAGCAGUGAGGAAUAUUGGACAAUGGGCGAGAGCCUGAUCCAGCCAUGCCGCGUGCAGGAAGACUGCCCUAUGGGUUGUAAACUGCUUUUACAGAGGAAGAACCACCCCCACGUGUGGGGGUUUGACGGUACACUGCGAAUAAGGAUCGGCUAACUCCGUG